rnacentral:rRNA from 1 species
CCCUUAGAGUUUGAUCCUGGCUCAGGACGAACGCUGGCGGCGUGCUUAACACAUGCAAGUCGAACGGUAAGGCCCCUUCGGGGGUACACGAGUGGCGAACGGGUGAGUAACACGUGGGUGAUCUGCCCUGCACUUUGGGAUAAGCCUGGGAAACUGGGUCUAAUACCGAAUAUGACCAUGCGCCUCCUGGUGUGUGGUGGAAAGCUUUUGCGGUGUGGGAUGGGCCCGCGGCCUAUCAGCUUGUUGGUGGGGUAAUGGCCUACCAAGGCGACGACGGGUAGCCGGCCUGAGAGGGUGACCGGCCACACUGGGACUGAGAUACGGCCCAGACUCCUACGGGAGGCAGCAGUGGGGAAUAUUGCACAAUGGGCGCAAGCCUGAUGCAGCGACGCCGCGUGAGGGAUGACGGCCUUCGGGUUGUAAACCUCUUUCAGCACAGACGAAGCGCAAGUGACGGUAUGUGCAGAAGAAGGACCGGCUAACUACGUGCCAGCAGCCGCGGUAAUACGUAGGGCGCAAGCGUUAUCCGGAAUUAUUGGGCGUAAAGAGCUCGUAGGCGGUUUGUCGCGUCUGCUGUGAAAACUGGAGGCUCAACCUCCAGCCUGCAGUGGGUACGGGCAGACUAGAGUGCGGUAGGGGAGAUUGGAAUUCCUGGUGUAGCGGUGGAAUGCGCAGAUAUCAGGAGGAACACCGAUGGCGAAGGCAGAUCUCUGGGCCGUAACUGACGCUGAGGAGCGAAAGGGUGGGGAGCAAACAGGCUUAGAUACCCUGGUAGUCCACCCCGUAAACGUUGGGAACUAGUUGUGGGGUCCAUUCCACGGAUUCUGUGACGCAGCUAACGCAUUAAGUUCCCCGCCUGGGGAGUACGGCCGCAAGGCUAAAACUCAAAGGAAUUGACGGGGACCCGCACAAGCGGCGGAGCAUGCGGAUUAAUUCGAUGCAACGCGAAGAACCUUACCAAGGCUUGACAUAUACGAGAACGGGCCAGAAAUGGUCAACUCUUUGGACACUCGUAAACAGGUGGUGCAUGGUUGUCGUCAGCUCGUGUCGUGAGAUGUUGGGUUAAGUCCCGCAACGAGCGCAACCCUCGUUCUAUGUUGCCAGCACGUAAUGGUGGGAACUCAUGGGAUACUGCCGGGGUCAACUCGGAGGAAGGUGGGGAUGACGUCAAAUCAUCAUGCCCCUUAUGUCUUGGGCUUCACGCAUGCUACAAUGGCCGGUACAAAGGG